UACAGAGGUGCCAAGCGUUGUUCGGAUUUAUUGGGCGUAAAGGGUGCGUAGGCGGUUGUGUAAGUCGGAUGUGAAAUCCCGGAGCCUAACUCCGGAAUGGCAUUCGAAACUACACAGCUCGAGGUCUGGAGAGGAGACUGGAAUUCUCGGUGUAGCAGUGAAAUGCGUAGAUAUCGAGAGGAACACCAGAGGCGAAAGCGAGUCACUGGACAGAACCUGACGCUGAUGCACGAAAGCCAGGGGAGCAAACGGG
rnacentral:rRNA from 1 species